CACGUAGGCGGACUGGAAAGUUGGAGGUGAAAUCCCAGGGCUCAACCUUGGAACUGCCUCAAAACUAUCAGUCUGGAGUUCGAGAGAGGUGAGUGGAAUUCCGAGUGUAGAGGUGAAAUUCGUAGAUAUUCGGAGGAACACCAGUGGCGAAGGCGGCUCACUGGCUCGAUACUGACGCUGAGGUGCGAAAGCGUGGGGAGCAAACA
rnacentral:rRNA from 1 species